UACAUAAGUAACCUGCCCUAGACAGGGGGAGUAACUAUUGGAAACGAUAGCUAAGACCGCAUAGGUACGGACACUGCAUGGUGACCGUAUUAAAAGUGCCUCAAAGCACUGGUAGAGGAUGGACUUAUGGCGCAUUAGCUGGUUGGCGGGGGUAACGGGCCCACCAAGGCGACGAUGCGUAGCCGACCUGAGAGGGUGACCGGCCACACUGGGACUGAGACACGGCCCAGACUCCUACGGGAGGCAGCAUG
rnacentral:rRNA from 1 species